rnacentral:snoRNA from 1 species
AGUCCCGCCAGCUAUCGCGUGGAGUGUACCCACUCUGUCUCCGCGACGAUCGUUCUACCGGGGCGAGAAGC